rnacentral:misc_RNA from 1 species
AGCGGUUCGUUACACGGUAUCUAUUUUUUUCCGCACGCUUCGCUGAGAUGUAAAUGAUGUAACACGCAAGUAAAUUAUCUGAAACAAUUUUCUGCAUCGUUUCUUGCACGAGCACGAGCACGUUGAACGUGUUACAGGCGAGAAACCUCGUGUAUCUGCACGUGGUUGACAUUUUCCGACAUGUGACUCCAGCUCCCCCUUUCUUCUUCUUUAUUUUUUGCACCGCUUGCACACUGUUCGUCGACGCACACCUGUACAUCCAUUCCUGCACGCACCUCUGUACGUCGUCUGUACGCUUUCCGGCUGCAAUUACACGGAUCCGCCCAUCGGCACAAGAAUAUCCGCGAACUCUCCGCUCGACGUGCAGCAAACUCUACUCGUGACGUAACACGUUCAUGCACGCGAACCGUUUUUGAUUGUCCUACUGUGUCGGUAAUCGGGCCAAACAGAAAAGGAAGUCCAAAAAAGGAGGUCGAGAGGAUGCAACCUCGUACCGACACGACGCACCAACGGACACGCUUCCUUGUUUGUCUUAAGAAAAUGGAAUGCUGGUGAGUGUUUCGCAUGGAUAAAACAAACUUCACGGAUAUCGAAACAAACAUUGCGAGUUACAUUCUUCUAGUUGUGGCUAAUACGUUUUCGAUCUUGAAAAAACAAACGGAUGUUCGUAUGGAUUUUCAUCUGAAUUUUACCAUCUAUACAUACGACAAAAAAA